rnacentral:lncRNA from 1 species
UAGGAUAUCGCAUCCUAUGCCUACGUAUCUUCUCUAUCCAGAGAAAGAAUCAGAGCACUCGUAGCUCGGCUAACGCACGCCGAAACAAAACACCGAAAAGAGAUGCUGAAACGUCAAAAGAAACACCCAAAAGGAAAUAGAAUGCCAAUCCAUGGACUUACAUCCGACUCCUGACAACAAAAGAGGAAACAGAAUGCCAAUACAUGGACUUACAUCCGACUCCAAACAAACCCAA